rnacentral:rRNA from 1 species
GACGAGUCUCACGAACGUUAUUCGGAAUUACUGGGCUUAAAGGGUGCGUAGGCGGUGGAGUAAGUCGGGUGUGAAAUACCAUAGCUUAACUAUGGAACUGCACUCGAUACUACUUUGCUAGAGUAAGACAGAGGUGAGUGGAACUGAGGGUGGAGCGGUGAAAUGCGUUGAUAUCCUCAGGAACACCGGUGGCGAAGGCGACUCACUGGGUCUUUACUGACGCUGAUGCACGAAAGCUAGGGUAGCAAACGGG